UCACGUGUGUGUCAGGUGGUGGUGGAGAGUUUGUCCCAGAAUCCUCUGCGGGAGUGCCACUCCUCUGGUCUCACAGCCAUUCUCAGACCUAGAGUUACAUUUCGGCUUUGGGCAUGCACCACCUGUUGUGCUUUUGACUUUUUACACAUCUAUCUCCAUGCUUUUAGUUUUUAUUUUCUCAAUCCUUCCUGAACUUUUUUUGCCCCAUCUCUGCCUUAUUGAAAACAGCCCCCUUUUUGUUUUCUUUCUUCCAUUUCCUGGCUUACGCUGAGCAGGUGCUUCGUAGAUGCUAUAUAUCCAUAUGAAUUAAUUUGUUCACUCGGUUGUUAAUCAUUCGAAAACACAUCUGCUGAGCUUAGGUCUUGAACGGGAGACUGCGGCUCAUCCAGCUUGUCUGCUUAGAAGCUGUGGAGGCUGUGGUGUGGGUAGGUGUCUGUUACUAAAGGACAAGCAGGAGCCCUGGCCACAGGAAACACAGCUGGAUUAUUCACGGCACCCGAUUGUAUGCUCAGCCUUGGUCCCAUCCCGUCUGCCUGUGCUGAGUCUGCUCGCUGUGUCUCUCUUUUCCAGGAGGCUUUGGUGACCUUGGUGACAACUGGCUCUCAGGUGUUUGCACCGACUGCUCUGUAUCCCCACACUGCCCCUGCUCCUCAACCUCUCUGUCCACUCUCACCGUCCUAGCCUCUGUCUCUACACCUUCUGAGUCCACGGCAUCUGAUCUGAAUCUUAUGAGCAGUUGUCUCUCAGUUUUGUCUUCAUUCCUACAAGGGUAAACAGGGCUCAUGAGUCUAUUUUCUCAUAAUCUCAGCCUAUUUGAGAUUGGAUUAUCAAACUCAGACUCAGGGGAGAAUAAUUCCAAUUUGUAAACAACCCAAUAAAAAUACCUCCUUUUUGUUAUAUUUUUGUUCGUUUGUUUUGCUUCUUUCUUUGAUGACAUUUUCUUUCCAAAGUCAGGAAAUCGUUAUCUCUCCUGACAGGAAAAUUGUCUCUUGAGUGCUUUUCUGAGCAGUCACUGUCUUCAACGAUUGGCUUUUCUUACUCUGAAAUACUAAUCUUCACUAUUAGCUUCCACCAUCUUGUCUGAAAGCUUGUGGGCAUCUGGGAGUAAGGUGUGGUCACCUGUAGUGCUUUGAGGCCAUUCUGAGUGUCAGCAGUAGACUGUAGGGCCUGCUUUAAAUACUGGUAAAUAAGAGAUUUCAGGACAGAAAGGACGGUGUGGAAUCAGCUGUGGAAGAUACUCCACUCUGUGGGAGAUACUCCUCUCUGUGGGAGAUCUGCCAUAACUGACAGGAUGGCAUCUGUGGUAGAGAGCUAUGCUCUGAGAAAAAUGGCCUUUGUCUUCAGCAGGUUGGCUGUGUCUGUCUGAAGCAGGUGAACCAUCCAAGUUCAGCAAGAGAAGAAGAUGGACAGGGUCUUUGAACCCUGACUUAAGUAACCAGCCACCACCCACAGCCAUUUGUAUGCAGUUUGACCCUAAGUGCAUGUGAAUGGAGUCUGUUCUCUUUCUUUACGAAAAGUUCGGGGAAGGGCCACAGGAGACACGUCUGGAAAACGCAACAAAUUCACACUAAAGAGACCCGAGUUUUGUGCUAUGUUUCUAAUUAUCUGUGCCCAUAUCUACCAUAUCUGACUGACCUCAAAUACUGGAUUUCUCAGGGGACUGCAUUGGUGAAUGUCGAGGAUGGGGAAGAUGAGUUUGAUUAUGACUCAAGUGGCAGAAGUGACUUUCCUGAUUGCCUGCAGAUUGAUGACAUGAAGGUCAAGGUGGAGGUGAGAUCAACGACAACCAAGAUGGCAACCGAGAAGAGAAAUUUAGUCAGACUUUGGCAACUUUGUGAGUUCUUCUUUCAUCCAUCCUUCUCCACCCUUUUACUUCUACCCUUUCAACCCCCAAACGCCUGAUAGAAGAGGAAAACUAAUGGAGGGAACGGGGUUAUGUUAUUUUUAGACUACUUCCUACUGAUUAGGGUUGUCAAGUUCUUUGGGGCAAGCUUGAUCUUCACUGUUAGGGUAUUCAAUUUCUUCUUGUUAUUGUUUCUUCUUUGUGCAUGACUACUUAACAACCCAUGACAAACAACAACAAAAAACCAACCAACAACCAACAGAAACUACCACAUACCUCUUGGGGCAUAUCUGUAUCUGUAUCUGUAUCUGUAUCUGUAUCUGUAUCUGUAUCUGUAUCUGUAUCUGUAUCUGUAUCUGUAUCAUCUGUAUCUGUGUCUGUGUCUGUGUCUGUGUCUGUGUCUGUGUCUGUGUCUGUGUCUGUGUCUGUAUCUAUCUAUCUAUCUAUCUAUCUAUCUAUCUAUCUAUCUAUCUAUCUAUUUCUUAAAAGUCUCCAGAAUUCCAAACAUUACACAAUCCCAGAAAAAUCUGCUGUUGGCAAAAUUGCGCCCCUGCUAGAGUGCUAGAGCACAAGGCAAAUCAUGGUCAGCUUCUCUGGAUAAUCUGAAGCAGCCUCACAUCCCAUACCUGGGAUUAAAACGAAAGCACAUUAUUAUAAUAUUUCUAUGUUUGAGUAAAGGUAUGACAAGGAGGGAACAUGUCCAUACUAUACUAGAAGAUGUUACCACCGGUUCCAGGAGAAAUCAGACUGUAGUUCUUAAGACCAAAGACUGUUCAACUGAUGUGGAGGUGGAAGUUGACCCAAGAUAUAAAACAUGUCCCAAAUAAACCAUUAGAGGUAUGAAAAGUUAAAAGGUAAUAGAGGAGGGGGGUGUAAUCAAAGUAUAUAAUAAGCAUGCAUAAAAAUGUCACUGUGAUACUCCUUGUCUUGUAGCUGUGACAAAAUCACCUGACAAAGAUUAUUUAUGGAAAGUAGAGUUUAUUGUGACUCACAGUUGGAGUGUUCAAUCCACCAUGGUAGGGAAGGCAUCGAGGCAGC